ensembl:lncRNA
UUCAUGUAAAUAUUUACAGUGAAUUUUACCAUGGAGAACACAGGAAGUACACAGGAGUACACAGGGAGUACACAGGAGUACACGGGAGUACACAGGAAGUACACAGGGAGUACACAGGAAGUACACAGAGAGUACACAGGAGUACACGGGGAGUACACAGGAGUACACGGGGAGUACACAGGAGUACACAGGGAGUACACAGGGAGUACACGGGGAGUACACAGGAGUACACGGGGAGUACACAGGAGUACACAGGGAUACACGGGGAGUACACGGGGAGUACACAGGGAGUACACAGGAGUACACAGGGAGGAACAAGGAGGGAGGAAGGACAAGCUGAACCUGUCUACCUGCUGUGCUGUCAGCUGAUUGGGGGCGGGCUGGUUAAGUACUGGCCGGGCAGACGGCGGCACCGUUAAGCGUUAACUGUUCUCUCGCUGCGCUCAGUUGUCAUUUCAGGGCCACCAGGUGCAAAUGGUUAUAUAUUUUGCUUUUCGAUAGCAUUGACUUUGUUUGCGAAAAUGUCCAAUUUGGACAUCGAUCCAUUUGCAAGACUCCACUGUCAACGGGAGCCGGCUAGCAGCUCAGCGAGCGGCCAGGAAGGAGCACUCGCCUUAGGAGGUGCAGCAGCUCCCCAGCGGACGAGCAAGAAGCCAUUGUGGCUCAAUUUACAGAGCGUGGAGUGGUCACAGCACCGGGCCUCCCUCUGUCCCAGUAAGGCUCACAGCCGGUGGAAAGCGACUCUAUCCCUCCCCUCCACCCGCACCAGGGCGGAAAAUCAGAACCAACACAAGCUCCGCGGGCUAAGAGAAAGUAGGCUACUUCACCACCACCAGCUCCUCCGGGCCCAUCGAGGACCGGUAUCACGGCCAUCUCCACCUACACGGCACUGGUCAACUCGAUGACCACCAUCUCGCCUUCAACACCUGGUGAACACGGAGCCCAUUCCAUCUCCAUCCGGUAACUCUCGGUAUGGCAACUCAACCCCCCACAUCCACGCAGAUUCGAGCAGCGCAGCAUUCACUGGCAUCUGCAGUCCCUCAUCGUCUUUUAGGUAGGCCAUACUUUUCCAAUGUAGCUAACAUAUCGGCCCGCCUAAGGUCGAAAACCCUGCAGGACGAGACACUGAGACCCUGUCCUCUCCGGACAUACUUUACUCUGAUGUCUCUCUUAAAACACCUGAAGUCGUCAGUCGACGCAUAAACAACAUAAUCAAACCCGUCGACUCAACGCAACGUUAAGCUCCCUGAGUCAUGAGGAGCUGUCUCCUGUGAGACACCACGUGUCUCAACAGGGGAGACCUACAUCCGGAGGACACCUUGGUAACCCGAGAGACCACCUUACCGUACCGAGACAGUUCCCUAGUUAACACCUCGUCUCUGACGAACGGAGGAACGUGUGACACCGUGAUCUUAACAGCUGAUCUUGCGAGCGGUAAGACGGGAAAGAAGUGGUCGUUCACCUCGACCCCGUCUCCAUGACGAGGUCUGCGUCCUCCACGCUGCCGACAAAUAUGAGCACAGCCCCGUUCAUCCGCGCUGCCGACCAUCUCCCCCACCGCCAGGCCGCAGUCCUCCACCGAGCACGGGAAGCGCGGCGGUAUUUUGAAGCCGUGCUUCCUCGUUAGCUCCGUGAGCGCCAUGUCGUCGUGUAGCGCAAACUACCCACAAUCACCCAAACCUUUAAUGUGCACGAACACCACGAACCCUGCGCCCCACGACACGUAUAAUACACCCCAUUAACAGCAAGGAAUAACGAACGGACUAUCAGACGCUCACAAUCACGCUCAACACUCCUUCCACACACACACACACACACACACACACACACACACACACACACACAGAAGGCAGUUAUACUGUUCUACUAAUUAGACAAGUUCACUAGUUUUAUUUAAUAUACAAUUAUUGAAAUGAAAGGUAUGUCUUAAGUUACAUGAGCUACAUGACAGUCAGUGAUUAUUAUUAUUAUUAUUGUGGUGUAUUAUUGGUGUAAUGCUGCUCAUGCUUCAACUGUAAAAGAAAACAGUAAACAUCUUCCAAGAGAUGGUCAGGAUGCUCCUGUGAAGCUCCGUUUUGAUAAGUUUUGAGUUAAAAUAGUUUUGAUUAUUUAAUCAUUUGAUGAUUGUUUAUACAUUAUGGCCUAGUUUCGUCUGCCUGAUAUUAAUUAAUUAAUUCAAUUUAAUUAGUUUAUUAACAGAAAUAAAUAUAAGAUCUGAAAAAAUAUUGUACUGUGUUUUUUAUUCAAUUAUGUAAUAUUCUUUUUCAUUUCAUUGUCUUUUGUUGUGGUUUUAGCUCCUGUCCCCCACAGUGUCUGUGCACGGGCCUAUAUAUGAAGAGGCUAUAUAUAUAAAUGCUUCACCUGGUUGGGAGCAUUAGAUCCUUGCUACAAUAUACGUAUGCAAAAUAAUGCAAACACAACUUCAACCACUGUAGUAAGAGUAAAGAUACCCCAUGCUAAUUAGUCGAGAAACCAAAGCCUUCUCUAGAGUAGUUUUCCCUCAUUCUAUCAAAGUGAAACUUGACACUUAAGGCUAUUAUGUAGAUGUGGUUUUAGCCUGUUAUCUCCAUGUUUAUAGCAUUUAUAGGGCUGUUUUUCAACCUUUCAACCUUUUUGACGGCAAUCUCAAAAUUCAAACUUUUUUGUGUGUGUAAUAUUGAUACAUAUUCACCAGUAACAUAUUAACUUAUUUUUAAACAUCAUAGCAUAUGAGUUCCCCUUUUUCCCCACAGAAAAAUGUGUCCAAUUAGACAAAGUUCCAGAGUUAUUAUACGUUUUAUGUGUGGAGAAAGUUAUAUAUUAUAUAAUAAUACGGGCAGACGACAUCCAGCGUUCUGAUUGGUUGAGAGUGAGUCAUGGGGUGUGGAUUAUUCAGCGAUGAUGUACAGUUGCUGUUCACAUUGACCCGAGCGUUCCGUAUCACUGCGCACUCAAAGUAGCAGGUUAGCUUUUGCGCGACCGUUAAGCCUAGUUCAUGCUUCUGCGUUUUCAGAGAAACGCAAGAGUCCCUUGCGUGUCCCUUGCGUGUCCCUUGCGUGUCUUUUCACACCUCCUUGUGUGCGUCGACCCAUUUUUCUCGACCAGCGUCUAAAGCGACGCAGCCUCCUGCAGCACCAGGCUGUGAUUGGUCCGCUGACUACGUCCUUUACGGAGUCUCACGUCUCCGUUUUCACAGCACAAUACGGCCGUUAUUAAAAGGAAGAACGUUGACGAGAGAACGGAUCAGAUUGAAGAGCUUUUAAAUAUGAGCGCUUGUACAAGCCGUCAUUGGCGGACUAUGAGGACGCCGGAUGGCCUCUGAUUCAUGGAGGGAGAUCUCCACCAACGAGGGGAACAAAGUCGUGGAGGAAAAUACGGGACAAAUGUGUCCGUGAUGAAAAGCAGCAGUGUGGAUGCACGGGGCAAUAAAGUCUAUGAUCAAUAAAUAAAGCAACCAGCGACUUCCACACACAAAGACGUGACUCUCUAGGUCGUCUUCAACAAAACACGUGACUCCACCUGUUGUUCUGGAGGUGAAUCGCUCUGCAACACACGCACGACUUUACAACCAGGAAGUGAAACCAGUGCGUCGACGCGUAAAGACGCAGAAACACGCGCCGGCCUUUAGUUGACAUUUGCAAGGAGACCCAAUACUGUUUACAUGCAUGUACUUUUUUUCUCUGGACUACUGAAAUGAGAUACAUGUUUGGUGGCUGCAACUAUUUUGUGCUGAAGGCAGCUAUUUACUUACUAUUAAUAAUGUUGCUGGUAACUGUAUUAUAAAAGCAAUAAGGUACUUGAAGCAGUACUUUAUUUCAGUAAAUUGGCCGAUAAAGUACAGCCUCUCGUACCUUAUUGCUUAAAUAAAUGAUAAAACAAAAGAAAAAAAAGGAAAGACUCAAAGCAGAACAGAUCUUAGCACCCACAGUAAGACACGUUCUUUAAUCAUUUUCAGCAGCACGCUCUCUGAAAUUAUACUUCAAGGGAUGACGUCACUUAGAACUAAAUAUUUCAUUGGUCAAACGUUCGCAGGCCAGAAUCUGUUUUUUUCCAUUUUAAAUCAUUCCAACAUUCAGGUGUUGAUAAUGUAAUUUAUCAAUGGCUGCAUUCCAUUUAGUUGCUUCAGUUUUCAUUUCAUUGGUGAGAAUAUGCGGUACAUACAAAAAAGCAUCAACUUAUGGAUGUUGGCAGAUGCCGUUCAUUCAUCCACAUUAUUUCUCGUUGUUGCUUUCUUUGUAUCUUAUGUACUUUACUUUUACUAUUUACACUCCUCCACUCUCUUCGCUGGUACCGGUGGCUCAUCCAGUUCUAAACACUGGUGCUCAGUGCUGUAGUGGUAAAAUUAGAGGUGGGUAAACUCUGAAUUUUGUGAUCAUACAGACCUCGACGUGAUGCGAAGCAACGCAACACAAAGCGUCGCGACUCUGUUAGGCUGUCCUGGCUAUAUUGCAUUAUGUUAUCAGUAAAAGUCAUAUACAAUCAAUGACAAUGAAUACAUGUGUUAGUAGUUUGUAGUUUAUUAAAUUUAAGAAAACAGUAAAGAAAAGUAUGUCAACACAACACAACAACACAAUUGCACAUUAAGAACUAUCUACAUAUGGAGUCUCCUUUUUACAGUAGUGCCCAGAGGGCCUCCUUGUCCUCCACGUCAGGUCCUGCCUUGCACAGAGGAGCCAUGAACCCCAGAACACGUUCCUCUGUGCUUCUCCUCUCUCUAUUGGACCUGGUGUUUCUCUCCCUGUGCUCUCUGCAUCACUGCCUGUCCUCUCACUGCCUGAACUAUGUUGAAUUUAAGAGUUAACCAGUUAAGCAGCCUGUCAAUUACACUGACAACAUAAGUUAAGGAACACUCAUGUGCUACCUAUGUCAUCAUUUCUUCACAUUGAGAAAAAAUGUGUCGUUUUACCGUGCACGACCAGCGAACACAGAGCGCGCGAUUAUUACUACC